ensembl:lncRNA
GUCCCAUCCCACACAAGUUCUCCUGAGUCCCCGCCUUUUCAUAAAAAAAAAAACAACGGUCUCCGAGUCCGACUCCUUUCCUCCUGACAACUUUCUAGAACAUCACCGCGUCAAAUAUCCUGUUUAACACUACCAAGGUAGCCUGAAACGGAACACUUCCUUGAGUAACGUCAGCAAGAAAGAGGUGGAGACAGCCCUCGGAAAAUGGUUUACAAAUGCUCGCGAUAGAGAUGGCAACCGUGCCUUGAGAGCCCAGCCGAGGAGAGCAGCACAGUCAGAGGUGUAAGUUACACAAUUUAUAACAAAUAAAGGGAAUGCUAAUUUUUUAAUUUUUAUUCAAUUAGUAGUAAUUUUAAACAUCUGUAAAGUUAACCAAUCAGAAUCAAAUAUUCAACUGCACUGAUUUUUAAGGGUUAAACUGCAAAGGAAGACCCUUAUUGUAUUUAAGGACCAAUCAUUGAGGGUGCAUAGGCACCUAUUAAUUUUGGUAGUGUUCUUAUUGUUAUUAAUCGUCUUAAUAUUCCAAUUUUCUUAUUAGGGGUUAAUCUAGAAUAUCUAUUGUAUUUGCUCAAAUUAUUUUGGGGGGUAUGAGCGUGAAGCAUGAUUAUAAUUUAGAAUAUACUCAUGCAUUUCUUUAAUAAAUGUUCAUGUCAAACUGAUUUUCUGCUGUUCUGCUAGGAUUUUUAAAGUAUUUAUUUUACUUUUUUCUUUACUCUUUAGGUUUGAAGCUGAGGAUUCUUUACAGUAACAGGACUUUAUUUGAGUUUUUUGACAUUCAUUUCAAUAAAAGAAUCCUUGAUUGACAUUCUGAAUUGGUCAUUUU